CUGGAGUUAGUGAACUGGUCUCCUUACAUUUGUUUUUUUUGUUAUGUUGUCUAUCAGACACUAUUGGAGAUCUCAAGUUCCGAUAAAAAUUGCAGAAAACAAUGCUUUUAAAUAUUACAUUUUGAAAACACAUUGGACGUUACCCGCACUAUUCGGUUUGUUGCAGUUUUUCUUUACUUUCAGCUGCUUUAUUUCCUUUUUCUCCGUUUUUGUCACCUUCCAUCACACACCAAAGCGAUCUACAGUUUUAUAUGCAGAAUAUGCUUAGGCAUUUACUUUCAUAUAGUUGAUAUGCUGUCUCGCCAUGCAUCAAAAUUGCUGCCUCUGCGACAGCUCGGCAUUCAAUAUCAAAUUCGACAAAAAAAAAUGGCACCUUUGACGCAGGUUUCACAGAAGUACGUCUACGUUGACAUUACAGCUCCUUUAAGCCUGCUCGGUUUCUUUACCCCGCCACCUGACCACCAUUAGCUCCAAGCUAAUGAGCGGGGCUGGGAGGACGGUAAUUGCAACUUCAGUGUCGAUUACAGACAUAUUUUCCCUCUAUUGCAGACCAGAUUUUAAGAUGUCAAGGUUUGUCUUUCACUCGGCGCAGUAAAGCUCCCCUCUAUUUUUAGGAAAAGGGUUUGCGGCAAUAGAGAGAGAGAGAGAGAGAGCGAGAGAUGUCAGCCAGCCAUAUAAUACUGCAUUUAUGAAUAUGUAACAUAGCUUCCAGCUACAAGAGCGUGUGUCUAUGUGAGUGUGCACUUUUUGGAAUUUGUAUAUUUUUUUGUAUUUGCUAAUCAUCACACAAUUCACAUUUAUGCAUACAUGCACACAUUUUUACAUUUGCACGCUGUGAAUGUCCUUUUCUGAGGGCAUUGCCUGUUGUGCUGUGGGUUGUGAGUGUCUCUUUGGAUGUGUAUGCCUUAUGUUUAACAUUUUCAUCCCUGUAGCCUAAUGUGUGUCUGUGUAUAAGGCGGAGUGUUUUGUGCGUGUGUGCUCUUCUAAUUCCAUGUUGUAUUCACAGAGUACAGUGGACCAGCUUUGAAUGAAUUAUCCCGGCUUUAUUGAAUAAAAGCUAACCAUUGUACCAGUGUGGCUUUAAGAGCUUACUAAUGCAGCUUAAUGAUUUUGUAUGGUUUCAGCAGACAGGCUUGUAGCCAUGGGGAAGUCUGAAUUAGUAAUAUUGAUUCCUAUAAUGAAAAGGAGGAUAACACUGAAACAGGGGAGGUGGUGAAUGUUUUGUUGGUAUUUUUUAUGGAUUUGUAAACUUUAGAUAUUGAAUCGCUCCAGCAUUAAUGUUUUUGGUAGGAGACCCCAUCAAAAAAGACAGUGGAUUACCAUGAAAAAACAAACAAAAGGUUGGAUUGAUUUGAUCAUAAAUAAAGUGAUUUUGGUGAAAUAUCACAAAUUCAUGCCUACAUUUUGUUAGGUUUCCCAGCAGAGUGGCGCAGAACAGAUUCUUUCUGUUUUUACAAUUUCUGACUUGGAUAAACGGUGUAAUUUUGGCUUUUUUUCCUUUUUUUUUUUAGAGAUAGCAUGCCCUUCCAGCCCACCAGCUGGUUUUGGGGUUCAGUCUGGUUGUAAUGUAUUCGAUAACUGUGAAAACUUGAGUGAUAGGCUUUUUUGUUGUCUUGGCUCUGUCUCCAGCAAACAGCAUUUCCAAUGAAACAGCUAAGGUUAAAGUCCUGACUUUCAGCUUCAAGUGUGUUUUGGAUUGUUCGCAUCCAUCCUGGGUGAGCAGUGUAGGACUUGUAGCUCAUAUUUUUGCUCCCAGGGCUUUGAACAGAAAGGUCUACAAUUUCCUGCAAAUUUUUGACAAAUAACAACCUUCUAUUGUCAGUGUUUCAUCCAGUGUAUAUUUUUACUGUUUUACCAUUUCUUACUAUCUUUAUUAUCGAGUACUUGCACCUUUCGUGACUUUUUGCACCCCUCUGUUUGUUCCUAAGAGCUCUGUAACGAUAAAUUUCUCCUUUGUGAGAUCAAUAAAGUCUAUCUUAUCUCGUCUCGUCUCGUCUCGUCUCGUCUCGUCUCGUCUCGUCUCGUCUCGUCUCGUCUCGUCUCGUUCAAAUCUACGAAGGUGGAUAAUAGAUCCAGACUAUAACUGCCAUCUACAUAGGGACCAUAGAAAGAGAAGUUGCAGUAUUGGAAAUUGUUAAUAUAUAAUACAACUUUUCUACAUGGCGGGUCAAAUUCACAGAAGGUGUGAUUUUUAUCUACCUCUUUAAUAAUAUAAGAAGCUAUAUCACACAGUCAACAGAAGAUUUCAUGCGCAGGAGACAGCCUUUAUAAAUUUUGAUUCAUGAAUAAUUUCGAACUUUGUCUUCAUGCUCAUCGACAUGAAACAAGUUUUGUGUGCUUGGGGUGUAAUGAAAGGAAUAUUUCCGGGAUACGGCUGCAGUCCUGCAUACAUGCAAACGCACAUUUCUCACCUUAAACUGAGCCUGAACGACAGUGAAACACUGCUUGCUGACUGUGCAUUUUCACCCCAUGGGUUCCUCCUCUAGUAAAACAGUUAACAAGCUCAGAUUGUACAUUUGUUAAAUCACUGUAACAACUGUGAACAGAAUUUCUCUCACCCUCCCCCUCUCUCUCUCUCUUUCCUUCACUGUAGUGGCAUCCCUGCACCUGCAGAAUUAGUAUGCAGUAGGUAUCACAUACACAUGAAGAGUUAUCAGCACUCAGUGGCAAUUAUCAGCAUGAGGUUAAAUAAACAGAAAGAAAAAUUUGCCUUUUCAAAGACUCCUCAGAUCACUCCCAAUACUUUUUUUUUCUUGUGUAGCAUUGGAAUAUGUGUUUCUGUGCAUGUGAUUGUGUAUCUCUGAAUUCAGGCACAGGAUCCUCCCUUCUCCCAUGCUGUCAAAAUGCCUCAUAGCUUCUUACUUUGUUCAUGAAUCCAAUUAGAAAGUGCUGAGAGAGUUGAGAGCCAAAACAUCAUCAAAGCUUUGUUUUUAAUUGAGAACUUGUGUGAUCAAAGAUGGCAAUAUGUUGCUUUGUCUUACGUCAUCACAGAGAUGGAGAUAACACGGCAACACGAUGGCAGGAGAUGUAGAUAAAUCUGCCUGUUAUCUAUCAGCUUGUCGCCGUGGAUAUACAGUACACACUCUGUUCAAGAAUCACAGGCAGCCAGACGGGAGGUCACAGCUUUUAUCGCUAUCUGCCAGCUGGACAAUUGCAAACCAAGAGGUGUCGGCUUCCCUUUGAAAGGAAGUGAUCCCAUUUGUCUGCCAUCAAAGCAACUGAAAUAACACGAAAUUUACUUUUAGUCAGCUUCUUUAUGCGGCGUAAGGAGGUGGUAGCUGUGGUCGGAUGCAUUGUGUUUCUGGGCUGUUCAUCUGUUCCAUUCUUGUGAAAUCUCAUAAGAAGAUAUCUUCAAAUUUGGCACAAACAUCCACUUGGACUGAUUGGAUUUUAUUGGUCAGAAGUCACUGUGACCUCACAAAACACACUUUUUGGCCACAACUCGGGACCAGAAGGGGAGUUUGUGACCAUAUUUCACAUUUGAUUGACUUGGUGACACCUUGAAACUGUGCCGAUUGUAAAGAUCUUCUGCGCUGCUGGAUUGAUAAUUUGUGUGAAGCGUCCACACUUGUAGCUCGUUUGCAGCAACAUCUAUGUUUUCACAUUGCCUGUCACGGCUACAGCUUUGUGUUUUGGCAGAAUCGGCUUUGUUGGCCAAGCUUGUGCACACAUACAAGGGAUUUGAUAUUGUUGGAAUCUGGAGAGUUGCAAGUGGACUGAUUGGCAGAGCUAUUUAGCCGCAAGGUGGUAAUUCUGUUUUGUGUUUUGUUUUUUCUUUUAAGAAAAUAUGGAGUUUUAAUAGAUGCAUACAUUAACUUUCUUGUAAACUGAUCUGGAGUUUCAGCAGUAUAACUGCAAGACUAAAUUUUUAAUCUUGUGCUGGGAACAGACAGAAUAAUUUUGUCUGCUGGCAAUACUUCUUCACAUAAUGCUCGCAGCUGUGAUUUAUACACAGCCAGGCUUUUUAUUGUCUUGUUUUGUAGAGCUGAUGAUCUAAAUUUAAAGAUUUGGCUCUUCUGAUACUAGAAUGAAUUAAUCAGGCUUUUUUUGUGUGGCAUCUGACGUGUUUAUUAGUGAAAUUCCAACUGCAUUACACGUUUCUAGCAAGCUGAUAAUCAGUACUGAUCAUAAGGUGGUACAAAUGUAAAAAGUAAAAUAAUGUGACAAUGUAAAGGUUGAUUUAUGGUUGUUCUUUUAACAUAAUGUCUAACGCAAGUAUUCUCCUGUGAAUUUGUGUGGAUUUAUUUCUCCCUCUCUGCGUUUUUCAAGCAGCCCCAUGUUUCUGAGUUCACUGUUGUUGAGAUUCUUUCCCAUUUGUGAUGAGGCAUUGUGAUUUGCUAUUGUUAAUUUGCUGAAUACUUGAGCUAUACAAAUCUCGUCACUCAUCAGAAAUGUUUUUUCUGCAAACAGUCGUGCAACGCUGAAUCAACAAGGAAAAGAAUUCUCACUCCGAUUUUAUUAUAGUGCGAAACAAACACAACAAUAACAAGAACAGAGCUUUGAGCAGCUCAAUGCUUCACUGUUACAAGCUGCUCCUAGUGUCUUGUAAUUCCUAUUUUAACAGCUUUUGCAUCCUACUUAUUUCUGGAGGAUUGUUACAUGUCUUUCCAGCCAGCUGUAAGUUGUUUUUUUUUAACUACUUGGAGUGCUUGAACCAGUCCAUUUAAUUAUAUAUGACACUGGAUACUACGAAAAACUCAACUUGUAUGGAAAUGAAUGGGAUAAACCAUCCACCAAUCACCAGUAAUCAUGUAAAAUCAAUGUCUCCAAAAAGGUCAUAUUUUACCUAACGGUAUUAUGUGAUUUUUCAAAGUUCCUAAAACAUGAGUCUGUCAAUAACCUUAACCAACUGUAGCUGUUGUGUUUUAUCCUAUAAGGCAACUUCAAAAAGUACAAAACAGCUUGCGCAGAUAAGUGUAUCUGUGUGUCAUUAUAAAGGCAUGCUUGCUUUGAAUACACUGAUGUAGAGUGCACUGUAAUUCAUAUUAUUAUUCCAUAAGGAAAAACUGUUUAAUAUCAGUGUAAAUGAGACCUGUUUUAAGGGUUUAUUUAACUAGUAAAUCCAAGAAUCCAUGUGCGUAUACUUCACAUAUCUUAACAAACGUACAUCUGAAUCGCAUCAAACAUAUUGUAGGUUUAUUGCUCAAGACUUGAGGAAGUCCAAUGUCGAGUUUCAAACAGAUUAGAUGAAUGUGAAUUUUGGACCUUUUGUGAUCUUUCGGGGUCCUCAGGUUGGCCUGUGGCUGCCAGUAUUGACUGACCAUGUCACCAAAGGCAAAUGAACAGUAUCACUUCUUGACAGCAGGCACUGCGCAAGUUAAAGCUGAUUUUGGUCUUCUACAUGAGGAUGUUUGCUAUAUUGUAUGAUGUCUCUGAUAAAUGCUGUUUAGUAUGUUGACAGCUUUACGUUAACAAGGACCAGGGCACUCACUUCAUCAGAUUCACGAGCUGAACUGGAAGCUGCGGAGUCUUUAGCGGAAGCUUUUUCUCACAUACGGGACAUCAUUUCACAGCCAUCAAACACUGAAUCAUUUCUAAAUUCAUUGGACGUCAUCAUGUCAAGGAUAGAAGAGUGCAGAGCCAGUAGGGGAUAUCAAAGAAGUCUAGAAGACAUGAGAAGAAAAAUGGAGGUGAAGGUGAUGGACUAAACAUUGAGAACUGCACCAAAGAUUACGAUCCUGAAGAAGAGGGUGCUUGAAAAAAUGCAUGAGAAUAAAAGCUUGCAAAAAAGCGGACACUGAACAUCAAAACUGACAGCUAAAUGCCAACCUCCAACAAGGAGGUUGAUAUUGGAAAGAAGUGGCAGGAGAAAGUCAGCAUCCUUGAAGAGGUCUUCUAAGAAGAAGACAAACUGAUAAGCAGGGUCAACCAAAACGACGCUGAAGCUGAAUGAAGUGGAAUCGGUUCUGAAAAAGAGGAAAUUGGAAGGUGAAGCUCUUGUGGAAAGACUCUGGCAGAGAGAGAGAAGUGGCAUUAGAAGGAGCUCCAACAGAACAAGCAGUGCUUCCAGAAUUAGCCCUCUGAUAAAUUAGUUUAAUGCCAGAAAGGAGCUUUUCCAAAAGUGUUGGGAGAAGGCGACGCAGCAUAUGAAGGAGACAAAAAAAAACCUAGAAGAGAUCUUGCUGGCCAAGAAAAAGUUUUGACUCCACCAAAAAUCAGAGUUGAAUGAGGAGAAAACAUCCAGCUUCAGAAGCUCAAAGUGCAGAAGAAGCAGAAGAAAAGCUUCUGAAGUUUCUUCCAUCUUUCCCCUUGCCCCAUUUACCCUUCCUACCCUUUACUCUUCUCACACCAUCCCUCGUCCCACUCAUCUUUUGUCAUUACAAAGACAUAAACAAACGAUAAGUUCCACAGGGUAGCGUCAUGGGUCCACUUCUUGUUUUCUUUUUACUUUGAAGUCAGCUGUGAUGUUUUAUUAUGCAGAUGGCUAUGUUGUACUUGUAUUUCAUGAAGAAAAAACAGUCACAGAAUCAGGAAAGGUCUUUUUAAUAUGAGUAUUUGGUUCCUUCUGCCUUUGAAAAACACCUAACAAUGAUAUAUUUAAUCAGCACAACUCGCCAAUAAAUAUGCAGAAAAUGCAUUAAAUCAGGUAGCACCUAUUUUAACUUCAUCAUGAGUUAUUACUGUAAGCUGUGUGACCUCCAAACAAAGCUUUUACCGUACACUGUGUACAAUUUAAGUUGUUUGUUUUGGAACAGAAUAAAAUCAAAAUUCUUUACAAUUUCAUUAAAAUGUAAAUGAAAUCCAUUGCUCAGUGAAAUCAUCA